rnacentral:tRNA from 1 species
ACCCCAGUGGUAGAGUGCUCGCUUUGCAUGCGAGAAGCCGCGGGUUCAAUUCCCGC